rnacentral:rRNA from 1 species
GACGAACGCUGGCGGCGUGCUUAACACAUGCAAGUCGAACGGAAAGGUCCGGCCUAUGUGGGGUGCUCGAGUUGCGAACUGGUGAGUAACACUUGAGUUACCUGCCCCUGACUUUGAGAUAACUUCAGGAAACUUGGGCUAAUUCCGGAUAGGAGCUCCUGCUGCAUGGUGGGGGUUGGAAAGUUUCGGCGGUUGGGGAUGGACUCGCGGCUUAUCAGCUUGUUCGGUGGGUAGUGGAUUAGCAAGGCCUGGACCGGUAGCCGGCCUGGGAGGGUAACCGGCCACAUUGGGACUGGAAUGCGGCACAGCCUAGUACGCGAGGCAGGAGUGGAGAAGAGUACACUAGGGGCGGAGGCAUGACGCAGCAACGCCGCGUGGGGGAUGACGGGAUUCGGUUUGGAUUGCAAUUCCGCCUGAGACGAGGAGUGAAUGACGGUAAUGGGUAAAGAAGCACCGGCUAACUCCGUG